rnacentral:rRNA from 1 species
UACGGAGGGUGCAAGCGUUGUUCGGAAUCAUUGGGCGUAAAGCGCGUGUAGGCGGUCUUAUAAGUCUGGUGUGAAAGCCCGGGGCUCAACCCCGGAAGUGCACUGGAUACUGUUUGACUAGAGGACGGGAGAGGGAAGUGGAAUUCCAGGUGUAGGGGUGAAAUCCGUAGAUAUCUGGAGGAACAUCGGAAGCGAAGGCGGCUUCCUGGCCCGUAACUGACGCUGAGACGCGAAAGCGUGGGGAGCAAACAGG